ensembl:lncRNA
GGAAUAGAAUAAUAGAAUAGAAGAAUUAGAAUAGGAAUAGAAUAAUAGAAAAGAAUAGAAGAAUAGAAUAGAAGAAUAGAAUAGGAGUAGAAUAAAAGGAUAGGAUAGAAUAGAAUAGAAUAGAAUAACAGAGUUGGAAGGGACCUUGGAGGUCUUCUAGUCCAACCCCGAAAACUCCUCCUUUUUUUAAAGUCUCGAGUCUCGUUUUAUAUCCUGCCAGACUCUUUAAAAAUACAGUCGAAGUUCAAGCCGAGAACAGGUGUUCAGUGUGGUGAAGAACACCGGAUGUGACUGAAGGGCAAAAGUUAAGCCAGAGUAAAACCAGAAGGAAGCAUUUGUCUUGUGGUGAGGUGAGCAGCAGACGGACUUCCUCGAGGAAUGAAGGAAACUAAAAAUAAGCCAAGAUGUUGUAAGAUGAGGACUCCUUGCAUUUGGGACGCGGGUGAUGGGCUCCUUAUUUGUUGCAUCUUGGUUUCUCUACUCCAGGAAAGUCUCCUAAAAGAAAUCUAGAAAGGAAGAAGAAGAAGAAGUUAGAAAGUGCGCAGUUUUGGGCUUGAGACCUAUGGAUAAGGAGAUCUUUCUGGUGAGUUUGUUGCUCCUGUCUGCUGGAUCGCAAGUCCUGGAUGGCGUGAAGGAUGCCAGGAAGAUAUUCCGAGAAGUGGAAGGAUCGGCUUUUAGGAGGAAAAAAACCUCGAGAUCUAUAGGAUCGGAAAAUCAGAGCAGCCCUGGACCCUCCUCGAGUGCACAGAAACCCACCCCCUGUCCCCAAGGAAGGUACCAGUACGACAGGGAGAAUUGUUCAAAGUGCAAGUCUUGCACAGAAGAGAACACAAUUGUGCUGCGGGAGUGCAGAGGCAACCAGGACACCAAGUGUGGUUGCGUGGGGGGCUAUUUCGAUGACCUGGAUGUUCCCCAUAUAUUAAACUGCAAAAAAUGCACCAAUUGCAGCUCUCUGCACAAGGAGACCUUGCAGGCUUGUCGCCGAAACAAAGACACCGAGUGCGGAUCCUGCUUUUCUGGCUUUUGCGAGUAUGAAGAGACCUGCGAGCUGUGUGUGACACCACAGAGCAUACUUGAAAUGUUCUCCGCCAUGGUGGUUCCUAAUAGCAUCACUCCCAGGACCCCCAGAGAUGAGCAGUGCAACAUGGUGUGUAAAAUGGUCUCAGCUGUAGGUGCUUGUGGGUGUAUUUUCAUCCUGGCGGGGGCCCUGAUUCUCUAUUUUAAGAAGAGGAAAAUUACUUCUUUUCCGAAGCCGAUCCCUGCGCCGGAUAUCAAUCCGCUCUCGAUUCAUUCUAAUGUCGCUUAGUCCUUCUUGACCGCCAACUUGAGCCCAA